GAGAAGCAUCACUGACUUUGUGAAAGAACUCUCUUUGUUCCCUCUGUGGAUCAGCACUGAAGCAGCGUGCUUGGCUCAAUAACCAGAUCUGGUCUAGAAGCAGGAAGGUAGAUUUGGAGACUGAUGCAGUUUGGUGACUCAGGACAAAACCUUCAUGCCUCUCUGAUGAAGAUGGGUUCUGCCUAUUGAGGAAAGCUGGAGUUCCCCUGUGAGCUGCACCUACCAUAAUGCUCCCAAGAGUUAGGUUUGCACACCUGGAGACUCUCUGUGCUUCUGUUGUUACCAGGAUCUGCCUUAGAAAUUCAGUCAGAUGGGAGAAAUAAUAGAGGCUGUGGCCCAGGCAGGGAAAACAAAGCAUCAUUGCAAAGCAUGAAGCACUUAGCUCACAGUGCUCAUCAGACAUUCCAGCAGAUGGCAGAGGAGCUCACUAAUACAGGAAUGUCCUCCAUGCAAAGCCAAUUCAAAGCUGGGACAAACCUUGUGGAGAAGAAUUUGAAAAUCUAAAACAAGAAUCUAAAGCUCAGUCCAGGUCAGCAGUGAAGUCUGAAAAGAUGUUUUUUGUUUUCAAAAAGGAGUAGGUUAAUGGGCAUGGUGGUGAUAGGUCAGUGAUCUUGGUAGUCUUUUCCAAACUUAUUGCUUCUAUGAUAACUAUAUUCCUAAUUGCAUCGUGGCACCUGAUUAGGAAAGAAACACAUGAAUUCUGAUGUUGUUAUUUUCGUUCUAGGCCUAUGUUAACAGGCACGGGCACAGCAAAACAUCAGGUUUGGUGCUUUUCUCACCCAACCAACCAGCUUAACUUCUCUCACCUUGUGUUUCAUUGCCUGAAGUCAGGAGCUAUACAUGAAAGACAGCCCCAAUGGAAGCUCAAGGCUGAGCUCCCACAUGUGGCAGAGGAAACAGGCGUAGUCUAUCACUCAAGGCAAAAUUGAUUGUUUCUAUUUCUUCAAUGUAUGAAUUGAAAAAGAAGAAACAUGAAAUCCCAUUGAAAAUAAAAAUGUUUUAUACUUUUUGCCUGACAGGAAUUUCUGGGCAAGUUUUUUUUUACUGCCUGUAGUAUUUUUGGA